CAAUUAUCAAUAAAAAAUUUAAGCAUUAUCGUAAAAUUAACAUGAAGAGCUACUUAAAUGAAAAUUGCAAAAUAAUAUAAAAACUAUAAAUGAAAUUAACAAUAAAUUGCAAAUAUAGACAUAUCCAAAGGCCAAUCCAUACAAAAUUGAUUGAUCCUAUUUUCCCUCUAUUUUUGCCCUAAACCACUAAAAUAAGGAAGCAGCCAUUAUUGAACAAACAAAUCAUCUCCAAAUAGGUAGAGAAUUCUCUCAACAGCCCAACUGGGCUCAGACUUGACCCAAGCCGAGCACUGUGAAGUGGUCAAAAGAGGCGCCCUACAUAGCGGACAAGUUUUGUGAUUAUCAUGAUCAUGAUCUACCCAUCUAUCAAUGCACUCUUUGUGGAACACGUGGCAGCAGUUCCUCAGUUCCCUGACCACAUCAUGGUCUCUCAAAUGGACCAAGCAGACAGCACACUUGUCACAAGCUCUUGAAAACCUCUGUGUGAUGUCACCAAAAGUGGUCAAGAUCAGACCGUCCCUUAUCUGCUGGGAAGAAGGGAGAGGAUGGGAUUGGUGUAGAGAAUCAUUGGCAGAGGAAGGUAAAUGGGUUCUGUUUCUGAACUUGAGUGCCCAAGACAAAGCCCAUCUCAAGACUGCCAGAAUAACAGCUACCUUGUACAGGAGAUGGGUUACUAUUACACCUGAAUCUUCUACAAAGAAACCCAUUGAAAGAAAGUGCAAAUUUAUGAAGAAAAAGCAGCAGAAACCAAGAACACAAGCAAGAGAAGGAAGAAGAGAGAAAGGGGAGGAGCAAAGGAGGAUUUGGG
rnacentral:misc_RNA from 1 species